rnacentral:rRNA from 1 species
CCUGAGAAACCCAAAAGAUCGAAUGGGGAGAUUCAUCGUCAGCGUGGCUGGUUUCCGUGCGGUUCGCGAUGGCCGGGACUUCGGUCUCGCGUCACGCGUCCGCUGCGGUAUGUCCGGCUGCGUCGGCGUGCACUUCUCCCCUAGUAGGACGUCGCGACCCGUUGGGUGUCGGACCGAUGGCCGUUUGGUCGCCUGUUACGUCGCGUUCACGCGUGCACGUGGCAGACCGAAAUGGCCGAGCGUCCGGCUGCCGGGCGGUAUAGAACGCUAUUGAACGGUAAUGAGCCGCAUUAAUGCGUUCAGGCUCGUCGGCAGGCUCGUCUCGCCCGGAUUUACGGACCUAGCGCCGUUGCCGGCUGCUUGGCGUGGCUGUUAGUCGGCGAUGUCCUCGGACUGGCUCUAAAAUUCGAAAGGAUUACCGGUCGGCGACGCUACUGCUUUGGGUACUUUC